GCCAGGCAUGGUGGCGAGUGCCUGUAAUCCCAGCUCCUUGGGAGGCUGAGGCAGGAGAAUCUCUUGAACCCAGGAGGUGGAGGUUGCAGUGAGCCAAGAUUGAGCCACUGCACUCCAGCCUGGGCAACAGAGCGAGACUCUGUCUCAA
rnacentral:SRP_RNA from 1 species